rnacentral:rRNA from 1 species
GACGAACGCUGGCGGCGUGCUUAACACAUGCAAGUCGAACGAAGUGGCGAACGGGUGAGUAAUACGUGAGGAACCUGCCUUUCACAGGGGACUAACACUGGGAAACCAGUGCUAAUACCGCAUAGUGAAAGAUGGCCUCGCGCCUGAUUAGCUAGUAGGUGAGGUAACGGCUCACCUAGGUGAUGAUCAGUAGCCGGCCUGAAGGUUGAGCGGCAGCAUGGGGACUGAGACACGGACCAGACUACUACGGGAGGCAGCAGUGGGGAAUAUUGGGCAAUGGCGCAAGCCUGACCCAGCAACGCCGCGUGAAGGAAGACGGUCUUCGGAUUGGAAACUUCUUUAGACAGGGACGCGGUACCUGUAGAAUAAGCCACGGCUAACUACGUGCCAGCAGCCGCGGUAAUAC